rnacentral:lncRNA from 1 species
AUAGUUGAUAUCAGUGAGAAAUAAACUUCUUGGAAAAUAUUCAUCCGAUAGAGCACAAAUUAGCACACUAGAAACAAUAUUAUCUUUAUUCUGGUUAACUCUGAGGGACUGGAUUUUCUUCAAAGGGCUUAUUAUCUUUUGCUUUGUCGUCAACAGGAUCUAAUCUGAUACUUCACUGGGAAAGGAUGUGGACUCUUAAAUCCUACAACUGUGAGCACUGCGGGAGUGACUUUAUCAGCGGCAGGGCUCUGAGGUAUCACUUUCAACAGAAGCAUCUUGGAAAAGUUCACCGUGAAAAAUAUGACCAAGAAGUCCUGAGCAGGAAGCAACAGGGUCACAGUGAGUCUCCACGUGACAGGUCAACCAUGGAGACACAGAAGCUACACUGGGAAAAUCUAGAAGAAAGGAAUGUGAAUUACAUGGCUACAAAAAUAUCAAAAACAUGCAGGAUGUGUUCUAGAUGCUUUGGGACAGUCCUUAGUCGGGAGAACCACGAAAUACAAGAGCAUCACUUUACAGCCCGCAAAAGAGCCCAAAUGUCCGCAGGAUUUUCACCUCAUAAUAUGUUGGAGUGUAAAGGUCCCCAAGAGCUAUGGAGAUAUGCAGACCGAAAAAUCUGCCCUGCCUCUGGUUCUCAAAGAGCUGCUUGUGCAGCUGAGAUCGGUGCCUUGCUCCAGCUGAUCCAGACUUCCUUUCCGGUGCCGGCCUCCCGAGUGAUCCAGGGUGGAUCUUAUGUGAAAGGGACCGACACCCAAGGGUGCUCGGAGAUGGACAUCGUGCUGCUCAGUGAGGUGUUUGCCGAUGUGAACCAUUUCAAGAAACAACUGAGAGAAGGGCUGGAGACUCUGAGAGAAAGCUUGAUGCGAGCUGCAUAUGGGAACAGGUCUGGUUGA